rfam:Triticum aestivum genome assembly, contig: Triticum_aestivum_CS42_TGACv1_scaffold_542455_6DS
AACUUACUCCCUCCGUCUGGAAAUACUUCUCAUCAAAAUGGAUAAAAAGGGGUGUAUCUAGAACUAAAAUAUGUCUAGAUACAUCCCUUUUUCUUCAUUUUAAUGACAAGUAUUUCCGAACGGAGGGAGUAUUAU